AUGGAAAACCCUAAAGACUCCAUCAAAAAUCUGUUCAAAAUAAUAAAGAAGUCAAGCUGUAGAAUACAAAAUAAAUAUAAAAAAGAGUUGCAUUUCUUCACUUCAUUUUUAUUCUCUUAUCCUCAGACAACUAUCAUGAGGGCCAUUCACUCUCUUCUUAUAUUUCCAUCCCUGCCAUUUCCAAGAAAGAGACACCAUUAAAGGCGAAGAGAGGGUCGAUGGUUUUUGACAAAGGUUUGUAUUUCUAUGCAUGAAAAUUGUUAAUUUGAGUUUUUAGGUUCCUGGGUCUUGAGUAAUAUUAACAUGUUAACAGAAUUUUAGAAUCAUUAGGCCUCUCAGCAUGCAAGCUCUAAAGGAAUGGUCCCCAUCAAGUAGCAUAUAUUAUGUAUAAUAUAUUGAUCAUUUAAUAUAUGUAAUAUAUUUAUGUAUAUAGAGAGGAUUAUAAUGUAUAUAUUACAUAUACAAUUAUUUAUAUGCUGUAUGUGUGUACCUAUUAUGUAUAUAUAAGAUGUAAUUAUGUAUAAAUGUAUAAUAAAUAACCUAGCUAAUUAUAAACUUGUUUAGGAAUUUCACAUAUGCACACUUUUGAACUAGAGGGAGGGAACAGAGCACAUUUGGCCAAAUUCAGAAGCCUCUUGAAUCAUGUUGGGUGGUUGGUGUGAAGCCACACUUAAACUUUAGAGAUGAUAAAAUCUGUUUGCCCUUAGUAAAAUACAAUUUCCUGUUUGCGGGCCUGAGAGGAGGAAAGACUUUUAAAAGAGGCUUAUUAAAAUCUCUGAAAGUGGGGAUCCCUGCGUGGCUCAGUGGUUUGGCGCCUGCCUUUGGCCCAGGGUGCGAUCUUGGAGACCUGGGAUCGAGUCCUGCAUCGGGCUCUGGGCAUGGAGCCUGCUUCUCCCUCUGCCUGUGUUGUGUCUCUGCCUCUCUCUCUCUUUCUAUGUCUAUGAUGAAUAAAUAAAAUCUUAAAAAAAAAAAAUCUCUGAAAGUGUUGUUGAACAUUUAAAAAAAAACACAGUUGCUUGUAUUAAGUACAAAUGUACUAGAAACAUAGGGGUUAUAUUUCACCUAAAGUACACAUGAAUUAAAAAGUCUAGGAAGGGAGAGAUGUGGUUCAACUAAAAUAGUUGAAAAAUAAUUGGUGACAUUUGACAAAAUCAAGAUAUUACCAUAUUUGUGUACUUCCCCUUGGACUGAACCUCUUAUCUAUGUAAAACAAGAGGCCUUAAUCUCUAACUCACUUUAUGGUGCUGGAUCAGUGUGAUUUAUGAAAACAUAGAAGGUUUUAAAGCAACACAAAUUCACCAGUGAAACUCUCCAGACACACAGGAUGUGACUUUGGCAUUGACUGACUCUUCAGCAUUUAAUUGGUACUGCAGCGAAGACAUUUUAUCAGAGGCCCAGAGGGCUGAUACUUAACCCAGGGUAGUGAGGACUGGGUGGUGAGAAGAGGUUAGCAGUCACAUUGGGCUGGACCCCCACCAUCUGGAAGGGAUCUGCAGGCUAAGGUCUAAGAGGGGGAGAGGAAGUGUG
rnacentral:lncRNA from 1 species